GCUAUACAGCUAGCUUAAUUACAAAUGCACAAAACAACAUUAAAUACCUUAACAAAAUUAUAAUCUAUUAACUAAAUCAUUUUUCCACCCAAGUAUGUGAGACAGAAAAGGUAACAUCAAAGCAAUAGAAAAAGUACCGCAAGGGAACGCUGAAAAAGAAAUGAAACAAAUCAUUAAAGCCAAAUAAAGCAGAGCCACACCCUCGUACCUUUUGCAUCAUGAUUUAGCUAGACAUACCUGAGCAAAACGCAUUUUAGUUCAAAGCCCCGAAACUAUGUGAGCUACCCCGAGACAGCCUAUUAACUAGGGCUUACCCGUCUCUGUGGCAAAAGAGUGGGGAGAUCUCCGGGUAGAGGUGACAGACCUACCGAACCUAGUUAUAGCUGGUUGCCUGGGAAAUGAAUAAAAGUUCAGCUUCGCAAUUCUCUACUCACAUUGACGAAACGAGAAAAUUUACGAAAGUUAGUCAAAGGGGGUACAGCCCCUUUGAAAUAGGACACAGCCUCUCUCAGCAGGUUAAAGAUUAUAUUAAACAAGAAUUACUGCACUGGUGGGCCUAAAAGCAGCCAUCCUAAGAGAAAGCGUUAAAGCUCCGGCAGAUUAUAACUCUAUUAUUUAAAUAUUAUUUUCUAAAACCCCUAAUUAUACCAGGCCACCCCAUGCAAACAUGGGAGAGAUACUGCUAAAAUGAGUAAUAAGAAGGCCAUGGCCUUCUCCCUAAACCUAAGUGUAAACUAGAUCGAACCCACACUAGUAAUUACCGAACCCAAAAACAGAGGGCAAUGUAGACAAAUUAAAAAACAAGAAACAAUUACAAAACCCAAUCGUUACCCCCACACUGGAAGGUUUAUAAGGAAAGACUAAAAGAGUGGGAAGGAACUCGGCAAACACAAGCCUCGCCUGUUUACCAAAAACAUCGCCUCCUGACAAUCAUAACAUAGGAGGUCUUGCCUGCCCAGUGAAUAAUUAAACGGCCGCGGUAUUUUGACCGUGCGAAGGUAGCGCAAUCACUUGUCUUUUAAAUAAAGACCUGUAUGAAUGGUGGAACGAAGGCUUAACUGUCUCCCCCCUCAAGUCAAUGAAAUUGAUCUGCCCGUGCAGAAGCGGACAUAUAACUACAAGACGAGAAGACCCUUUGGAGCUUAAGAUAAGAAUCACCUAUGUUAAAGACAAACUAAAAUAAAUUAAACCAAAUAGUACCUGAUUUUAAUCUUCGGUUGGGGCGACCACGGGAGAAAACAAAGCUCCCACGCGGACUGGGACCUAGUCCUACAACUAAGAAAGACACUUCUAAGUACCAAAACAUUUGACCAUAAUGAUCCAGCAAAAUACUGAUCAGCGAAUCAAGUUACCCAAGGGAUAACAGCGCAAUCCUCUUUAAGAGUCCAUAUCGACAAGAGGGUUUACGACCUCGAUGUUGGAUCAGGACAUCCUAAUGGUGCAGCCGCUAUUAAGGGUUCGUUUGUUCAACGAUUAAAGUCCUACGUGAUCUGAGUUCAGACCGGAGCAAUCCAGGUCAGUUUCUAUCUGUAAUGCCACUCUUCCCAGUACGAAAGGACCGGAAAAGUAAGGCCUCUGUUAAUAACACGCCCUACCUCAACCUAAUGACACCAACUAAAUUAGAUAAAGAGGGGCAAACCCUAUAAAUUAAGACCAGAUU
rnacentral:rRNA from 1 species